AUGGUAAUAGUAUUUUUGUUAUUAGUUGAUAAUAUACAAAUUAAUAUAUCUAAUUUAUUGGAUAUAGAUAACAAUGGUAUAGAUUUUAUUGUACAGAAAUAUAACUUAAAUGUGAAUGAGAAAGUGAAAAGAAAAUAUAUGACAUUGUAUCAGUUUUGCUUUGAUGCUUCUUUUAUUAUAAUUAAUCCUCUUGUUAUAUUUAUUAUGUAUUUGUUUAGUAAUUUAUUUGAUGAAUCGUACUCAACAAGUUUAUUUAUAUAUUUGUGUAGCCUUUUUAUCUCUGUUUUGACCAUUAUCUCAAUAGUUUCUUAUACCUUAGGAUUUGAACAAGCGGAUGAAUUAAAAAAAAAAAAAAAUUAUUUAGAUACGAAUAUGAACAAAAAUGCAAUCAGUAGUACUAUAGCUGCUAGUACUGUUAUGGAUAGUUUUGUUAAUACUAACCCUAAUAGUGGCACAAACAUAAAUUCAACAAAUAUUUCUGUAACAAAUACAUUAGACAAAAUGGUUAGUGGAAAAACACAUUACAGUGAGUACAAAAACGAUGAUGAUUUUGAUGAACAUGAUGAUAACAAUAAUAAUAAUAUUAACAAACAUAUUGAAACUUCAAAUAACUUAAACAGUAAUGAUAGUAGUGAAUGUGAUAAAGUGGAAGACCCGAAUAAAAAAAACCAUGGUGUUGUACAUAAUGAUUAUUACUCAAAUAUAUAUGGUAGUAAAACUAAAAGGCAAUUGAAUAAAGUGUCGAUAUGUCAUGAAAAUAAUUCUAGCAAUAUUAUCAAUAAUGGUAUUAAUGCUACUAACAUAAAUAGCGAAAUAGUAACAUUACAAGACUAUUAUAAGAAACAAUUUUAUGAACUCACAAAUAAUGUUAUACGAAUAAAAAAUAAAAAUAAAUUACUAUUUUAUAUAUUAACUUUAUCAUUUUUAAACAGUAUAGAGGAGGUUUUGAUUCUUAUGCUUAUUCCUUUUACGUCUAUAUAUGUAUGUGAAUUUUUUAACAUCAAUAAUGUCUUUGUCCAAGCGUUUAUUGCCGUUAUGUUCAUAUCGCUGACUAAGUGUUUUGAAAAUAUAGCUUACUACUCAAACAAGAAGAACAUAAUAGCCCUGAAGGAUAUAUUCAUGUAA
rnacentral:lncRNA from 1 species